rnacentral:rRNA from 1 species
UGGGGAAUAUUGCACAAUGGAGGAAACUCUGAUGCAGCGAUGCCGCGUGAGGGAAGAAGGUUUUCGGAUUGUAAACCUCUGUGUACAGGGACGAUAAUGACGGUACCUGUUCAGAAAGCUCCGGCUAACUACGUGCCAGCAACCGCGGUAAUACGUAGGGAGCGAGCGUUGUCCGGAAUUACUGGGUGUAAAGGGAGUGUAGGCGGGACGGCAAGUCAGAUGUGAAAUUUAGGGGCUCAACCCCUGACCUGCAUUUGAAACUGCUGUUCUUGAGUGAAGUAGAGGCAAGCGGAAUUCCUAGUGUAGCGGUGAAAUGCGUAGAUAUUAGGAGGAACAUCAGUGGCGAAGGCGGCUUACUGGGCUUUAACUGACGCUGAGGCUCGAAAGCGUGGGGAGCAAACAGGAUUAGAUACCCUGGUAGUCCACGCCGUAAACGAUGAUUACUAGGUGUGGGGGGACUGACCCCUUCCGUGCCGCAGUUAACACAAUAAGUAAUCCACCUGGGGAGUACGGUCGCAAGACUGAAACUCAAAGGAAUUGACGGGGGCCCGCACAAGCAGUGGAGUAUGUGGAUUAAUUCGAAGCAACGCGAAGAACCUUACCAGGUCUUGACAUCGAUCGAAUCCGAAAGAGAUUUUGGAGUGCCCUUCGGGGAACGUGAAGACAGGUGGUGCAUGGUUGUCGUCAGCUCGUGUCGUGAGAUGUUGGGUUAAGUCCCGCAACGAGCGCAACCCUUAUUGCCAGUUACUACGUUAAGAGGACUCUGGCGAGACUGCCGUUGACAAAACGGAGGAAGGUGGGGAUGACGUCAAAUCAUCAUGCCCUUUAUGACCUGGGCUACACACGUACUACAAUGGCGUUAAACAAAGAGAAGCAAGACCGCGAGGUGGAGCAAAACUCAAAAACAACGUCUCAGUUCAGAUUGCAGGCUGCAACUCGCCUGCAUGAAGUCGGAAUUGCUAGUAAUCGCGGAUCAGCAUGCCGCGGUGAAUACGUUCCC